GUUUCUGUUUCAAACAUUGCAAAUUUUGGAUAAAAUGGAUUGCUUCAAGAAGUGGCAGAGAGAUAUUUCUAGAUUUGUCUGGCAGGGCAAGAAGCCUAGAAUAAAAUUUAAAAUACUAACGGAUGCAAAGGAAAGAGGUGGAUUUGCCCUGCCAGACCUUAGACUUUACUAUGAAUCAGCAGCUUUUUGCUGGCUGAAAGAAUGGCUGCUUCUUGAAAACACAGACAUUUUGGAUUUAGAAGGCUUUAAUAAUGUAUUUGGAUGGCAUGCAUAUUUAUGGUAUGAUAAGGUCAAAGCACAUAAAGCAUUUAAAAAUCAUAUUGUCAGGAAAGCAUUGUUUAAUGUCUGGAUAAGAUAUAAGGACCUACUCGAAAAUAAAACCCCAAGGUGGUUGUCACCGAUGGAAGCGAAGGCUCAGAAAAAGCUCAAUAUGGAGGCCAAAUGGCCGAAAUAUUGGGAAAUUUUGGAACAAGAGGGAGAUAGAUUGAAACUGCAG